UACGUAAGGACCGAGCGUUGUCCGGAAUCAUUGGGCGUAAAGGGUACGUAGGCGGCUAGAAAAGUUAGAAGUCAAAGGCUAUAGCUCAACUAUAGUAAGCUUCUAAAACUAUUUAGCUUGAGAAAUGGAAGGGAAAGUGGAAUUCCUAGUGUAGCGGUGGAAUGCGCAGAUAUUAGGAAGAAUACCGGUGGCGAAGGCGACUUUCUGGCCAUUAUCUGACGCUGAGGUAC
rnacentral:rRNA from 1 species